GACGAACGCUGGCGGCGUGCUUAACACAUGCAAGUCGAACGGAAAGGCCCUGCUUUUGUGGGGUGCUCGAGUGGCGAACGGGUGAGUAACACGUGAGUAACCUGCCCUUGACUUUGGGAUAACUUCAGGAAACUGGGGCUAAUACCGGAUAUGAGCUCCUGCUGCAUGGUGGGGGUUGGAAAGUUUCGGCGGUUGGGGAUGGACUCGCGGCUUAUCAGCUUGUUGGUGGGGUAGUGGCUUACCAAGGCUUUGACGGGUAGCCGGCCUGAGAGGGUGACCGGCCACAUUGGGACUGAGAUACGGCCCAGACUGCAACGGGAGGCAGCAGUGGGGAAUAUUGCACAAUGGGCGGAAGCCUGAUGCAGCAACGCAGCGUGCGGGAUGACGGCCUUCGGGUUGUAAACAGCUUUAGCAUGUGACGAAGCGUGAGUGACGGUAAUGGGUAAAGAAGCACCGGCUAACUACGUG
rnacentral:rRNA from 1 species